rnacentral:rRNA from 1 species
AUUGAACGCUGGCGGCAGGCUUAACACAUGCAAGUCGAACGAGUGGCGGACGGGUGAGUAAUGCGUGGGAAUCUGGCUGAUGGAGGGGGAUAACUACGGGAAACUGUAGCUAAUACCGCAUACCAUAGGAGGAGCCCAGGUGGGAUUAGGUAGUUGGUGGGGUAAAGGCUCACCAAGGCGACGAUCUCUAGCUGGUCUGAGAGGAUGACCAGCCACCCUGGGACUGAGACACGGCCCAGACUCCUACGGGGGGCAGCAGUGGGGAAUUUUGGCCAAUGGGGGCAACCUGACUCAGCCAUGCCGCGUGUAUGAAGAAGGCCUUCGGGUUGUAAAGUUCUUUCGGUAGCGAGGCGUUAACUACAGAAGAAGCACCGGCUAACUCCGUGCCAGCAGCCGCGGUAAUUC